rnacentral:rRNA from 1 species
UGUUAGCGGCGGACGGGUGAGUAACACGUGGGUAACCUGCCUGUAAGACUGGGAUAACUCCGGGAAACCGGAGCUAAUACCGGAUAGUUCCUUGAACCGCAUGGUUCAAGGAUGAAAGACGGUUUCGGCUGUCACUUACAGAUGGACCCGCGGCGCAUUAGCUAGUUGGUGGGGUAAUGGCUCACCAAGGCGACGAUGCGUAGCCGACCUGAGAGGGUGAUCGGCCACACUGGGACUGAGACACGGCCCAGACUCCUACGGGAGGCAGCAGUAGGGAAUCUUCCGCAAUGGACGAAAGUCUGACGGAGCAACGCCGCGUGAGUGAUGAAGGUUUUCGGAUCGUAAAGCUCUGUUGUUAGGGAAGAACAAGUGCGAGAGUAACUGCUCGCACCUUGACGGUACCUAACCAGAAAGCCACGGCUAACUACGUGCCAGCAGCCGCGGUAAUACGUAGGUGGCAAGCGUUGUCCGGAAUUAUUGGGCGUAAAGGGCUCGCAGGCGGUUUCUUAAGUCUGAUGUGAAAGCCCCCGGCUCAACCGGGGAGGGUCAUUGGAAACUGGGAAACUUGAGUGCAGAAGAGGAGAGUGGAAUUCCACGUGUAGCGGUGAAAUGCGUAGAGAUGUGGAGGAACACCAGUGGCGAAGGCGACUCUCUGGUCUGUAACUGACGCUGAGGAGCGAAAGCGUGGGGAGCGAACAGGAUUAGAUACCCUGGUAGUCCACGCCGUAAACGAUGAGUGCUAAGUGUUAGGGGGUUUCCGCCCCUUAGUGCUGCAGCUAACGCAUUAAGCACUCCGCCUGGGGAGUACGGUCGCAAGACUGAAACUCAAAGGAAUUGACGGGGGCCCGCACAAGCGGUGGAGCAUGUGGUUUAAUUCGAAGCAACGCGAAGAACCUUACCAGGUCUUGACAUCCUCUGACAACCCUAGAGAUAGGGCUUUCCCUUCGGGGACAGAGUGACAGGUGGUGCAUGGUUGUCGUCAGCUCGUGUCGUGAGAUGUUGGGUUAAGUCCCGCAACGAGCGCAACCCUUGAUCUUAGUUGCCAGCA